rnacentral:rRNA from 1 species
AUUGAACGCUGGCGGAAUGCUUUACACAUGCAAGUCGAACGGCAGCACGGACUUCGGUCUGGUGGCGAGUGGCGAACGGGUGAGUAAUGUAUCGGAACGUGCCCAGUCGUGGGGGAUAACGUAGUGAAAAUUACGCUAAUACCGCAUACGAUCUAUGGAUGAAAGCGGGGGAUCGCAAGACCCUGCGCGAUUGGAGCGGCCGAUAGCAGAUUAGGUAGUUGGUGGGGUAAAGGCCCACCAAGCCAACGAUCUGUAGCUGGUCUGAGAGGACGACCAGCCACACUGGAACUGAGACACGGUCCAGACUCCUACGGGAGGCAGCAGUGGGGAAUUUUGGACAAUGGGCGAAAGCCUGAUCCAGCCAUUCCGCGUGCAGGAUGAAGGCCCUCGGGUUGUAAACUGCUUUUGUACAGAACGAAAAGGUUUCUACUAAUACUAGGAGCUCAUGACGGUACUGUAAGAAUAAGCACCGGCUAACUACGUGCCAGCCGCCGCCGUAA